GACCACGUAGCUCAGUUGGUAGAGCAUUGGACUAGUAUUCCAAAGGUCGCGGGUUCGAUUUCCACCAUGGCCA
rnacentral:tRNA from 1 species